AGAUUAGCUUGCUAAAGUUGUCAGCUAAGUGGCGCACGGGUGAGUAAUGUAUAGAUAACCUGCCCUCUAGAAAGGAAUAACAGUUGGAAACGACUGCUAAUGCCCUAUAUGCCUUUAAUACAUAAGUAUGCAAGGGAAACGCUUUAGUGCUAGAGGAUGGGUCUGUAUGGUAUCAGCUAGUUGGUGAGGUAAUGGCUCACCAAGGCUAUGACGCCUAACUGGUUUGAGAGGAUGAUCAGUCACACUGGAACUGAGACACGGUCCAGACUCCUACGGGAGGCAGCAGUGGGGAAUAUUGCACAAUGGACGAAAGUCUGAUGCAGCAACGCCGCGUGGAGGAUGACACAUUUCGGUGCGUAAACUCCUUUUAUAUAGGAAGAUAAUGACGGUACUAUAUGAAUAAGCACCGGCUAACUCCGUGCCAGCAGCCGCGGUAAUACGGAGGGUGCAAGCGUUACUCGGAAUCACUGGGCGUAAAGAGCGUGUAGGCGGGUAUGUAAGUCAGAAGUGAAAUCCUAUAGCUUAACUAUAGAACUGCUUUUGAAACUGUAUACCUAGAAUGUGGGAGAGGUAGAUGGA
rnacentral:rRNA from 1 species